ACUCUGGGAUAAGCGCUGGAAACGGCGUCUAAUACUGGAUACGAACCACGAAGGCAUCUUCAGUGGUUGGAAAGAAUUUCGGUUGGGGAUGGGCUCGCGGCCUAUCAGCUUGUUGGUGAGGUAAUGGCUCACCAAGGCGUCGACGGGUAGCCGGCCUGAGAGGGUGACCGGCCACACUGGGACUGAGACACGGCCCAGACUCCUACGGGAGGCAGCAGUGGGGAAUAUUGCACAAUGGGCGCAAGCCUGAUGCAGCAACGCCGCGUGAGGGAUGACGGCCUUCGGGUUGUAAACCUCUUUUAGCAGGGAAGAAGCGAAAGUGACGGUACCUGCAGAAAAAGCGCCGGCUAACUACGUGCCAGCAGCCGCGGUAAUACGUAGGGCAAGCGUUAUCCGGAAUUAUUGGGCGUAAAGAGCUCGUAGGCGGUUUGUCGCGUCUGCUGUGAAAUCCGGAGGCUCAACCUCCGGCCUGCAGUGGGUACGGGCAGACUAGAGUGCGGUAGGGGAGAUUGGAAUUCCUGGUGUAGCGGUGGAAUGCGCAGAUAUCAGGAGGAACACCGAUGGCGAAGGCAGAUCUCUGGGCCGUAACUGACGCUGAGGAGCGAAAGGGUGGGGAGCAAACAGGCUUAGAUACCCUGGUAGUCCACCCCGUAAACGUUGGGAACUAGUUGUGGGGUCCAUUCCCGGAUUCCGUGACGCAGCUAACGCAUUAAGUUCCCCGCCUGGGGAGUACGGCCGCAAGGCUAAAACUCAAAGGAAUUGACGGGGACCCGCCAAGCGGCGGAGCAUGCGGAUUAAUUCGAUGCAACGCGAAGAACCUUACCAAGGCUUGACAUAUACGAGAACGGGCCAGAAAUGGUCAACUCUUUGGACACUCGUAAACAGGUGGUGCAUGGUUGUC
rnacentral:rRNA from 1 species